rnacentral:rRNA from 1 species
CAGCAGCCACGGUAACACGUAGGGUGCAAGCGUUGUCCGGAAUUACUGGGCGUAAAGCGUGCGCAGGCGGUUCGUUAAGACAGAUGUGAAAUCCCCGGGCUUAACCUGGGAACUGCAUUCGUGACUGGCGAGCUAGAGUACGGCAGAGGGGGAUGGAAUUCCGCGUGUAGCAGUGAAAUGCGCAGAUAUGCGGAGGAACACCGAUGGCGAAGGCAAUCCCCUGGGCCUGUACUGACGCUCAUGCACGAAAGCGUGGGGAGCAAACAGGAUUAGAUACCCCAGUAGUCCCUGUCUCUUAUAC